GGCUCGGUGGCGCAACGGUAGACGCAGCGGCCUUAAAAGUCGUGUGUUGCGGGUUCAAAUCCCGCCCGGGCUA
rnacentral:tRNA from 1 species